GUUCAGGGAUGGGAAUCGAACCCACAGUGUUCCGCUUACCGGGCAGAUGCCAUGUCCACUAGGCUACCCUGGA